rnacentral:rRNA from 1 species
UGAACGCUGACAGAAUGCUUAACACAUGCAAGUCGAUGGGGAAGUGGUGCUUGCACCAUGGUAACCAUGGCGGACGGGUGAGUAACGCGUAAGGAACUUGCCUGCGGGACUGGGAUAACAGCAGGAAACUGCUGAUAAUACCGGAUAAGGUCAUUAAGCUGCAUAGCUUAGUGAUGAUAGGAGACGCCUGCGGAGAGCCUUGCGUCCUAUUAGCUAGUUGGAGGGGUAACGGCCCACCAAGGCGAAGAUAGGUAGCCGGCCUGAGAGGGUGGACGGCCACAAGGGGACUGAGAUACGGCCCUUACUCCUACGGGAGGCAGCAGUGGGGAAUAUUGGACAAUGGGGGCAACCCUGAUCCAGCAAUUCUGUGUGCACGAAGACGGUUUUCGGAGUGUAAAGUGCUUUCAGCAGGGAAGAAGGAAGUGACGGUACCUGCAGAAGAAGCGACGGCUAAAUACGUG